UGUAUGUAACUUCAUUUAUUUUACUUUUUAUUUUAUUUUUUUUAUUAUUUUACUCAAGUCAUAUGUUUUCUUAUUUGUUUUAGUGUCUGCAAUUAUCUGUCAAAAAUUAGAGAAGUGUAAUAAAUCCUGCCACAUCUAUUGUGCUUCGAUGUGUAUCUCUUCUUUCCUCACUUGGGGCUGUAUCUAUUUUGAUGUCCUGUUUUCCAGCACAGAAUAUUAGGAAAUCCCACUUAAAGAAAAGGAGAUACCAUGCUUGGCAACCACAGGACACCUGAACCAUUCCAAGCAACUGGGAGCUGCUAGCUAAUACCAUCUAAUUAAGGGUCACCUUAGAAAGAAUUUUGAAAUAUGUGGAGAAUAAAGCUCAGAAAGACUAGGUGAGUAG
rnacentral:lncRNA from 1 species